AAUUUCCCCCCAGUCUGAUGUGGAGAAGUGAUGUGAAGUUUGAUCUCCCAUCUCUCAGGUAGCCUGCUACCGUAUCCACAGCCACUGCAAAAGCCAAAGACAAAGGAAAAUUGCUGCUACGAUUAGUUUCUGAGACUUUAUCAUGGACGGCAGUGCAACAUGACCAUAGGGGAAACUAUGGAAAUGACCCUUUCAGAAUUUUUCUUGAGCUAUUUCCUUGAAGCCCCCAAAGGAUAAAGCAAUGGCUGUCAAUCCUAAAAUCUAAUGAAGCCAUGAAGCGCAAGAACUGAAAUGUAACAGAACAAGGAAGAUUACUGUAUUGACCAUUUCAGCCACAAGCUUUCUGUUGAUAAUGACAACAGAUGGCAGGUGAAGCAGUUUGGAUAAAAUAGGAGUUGACCUAAACCUUCACCCAAAACUUAAAUCAAAUUUUUAUGAAGUUCAAAAGGGUCUUUUUCUUUCUUUAGUUGUUUUCCAGUUUUAGGCAGAUCUAUUAUUAGAAGUGCCAAAAUAUCACAAGGAAGGUUGUUCUCACUGUUCUUCAUUCCCAAAUGGAAGUGAGAAUUAACAGAAAUCUUAUUUGUGAGCAUUCCAACUCGAUAUUACAGGUUCCAGAAAUUCAAAUUGUGGAAAUAAAGCUCAUAUCAUUAUCCAAACAUUUACCUGUGCUUUGCAUUUACAUACGUUCUAUCUUGGCUUUGAGGUUAUGUUUUUUUGUUUGUUUUCUGUUUUGGUGGUGGGUGAAAGUUUGGAUAAGUACCUGGACAGUUAAGUGUGUGUCUGUUUAAAUUUUUUUUGUAGAUUUAGUUUAGAUUUUUUUUUUUUUACAGCAUCAGUCCUAACUUUUUAUGGCACAUUUUUUAGCAAUGUGAUUCUCUGUUUUGAGUCUUCACAUUGUCCUACAGCAGCACUUUUUACACGCAGUUAGGGUCGGAUUCUACAACUCAGGCAAAUAAUCACUACUUAUCCGAAUAAUCCAAUGAAGUGAGCUGUAGCUCACAAAAGCUUAUGCUCAAAUAAAUUGGUUAGUCUCUAAGGUGCCACAAGUACUCCUUUUCUUCUUUCUACUGGCCUAAAUGGGAGCCUUUACGUCAGUACCCAUCUGCAAGAUCAAGCUUCACUUCUCCAUUUCAGGUGUAAGUCAUCCUUAUCUUUACAAUUUCUUCUCCGUCAGUGGCAGAUCCACUUACAAUGUAUAACAAAGAGCUGCAAGUAAAAUCACACUAAAUAAUAUAUCCUUAUUGUCUAAAACAUGGCAUUAAUAAGGCAUAUUUAUUUUCUUAUCCAAUCGGGAUCAGAAUUCAUUAAAACCUGUGAGGCUAAGAGUGUAGACUCAUGGAUGUGGAUUCUUUUAAGCAAUAUGAAUAGUAUGCUCACUACCAAGUCUGUGCAAUUGUCCUUUUUUCCCACUAGGGCACAGUGGUUUUUUGGUUGAAAAGAGUAUAUAUCGUCUAAGUUUAUUUCUCCAGUCCUUCACUAUUUUGAAGGCUUGCCUGCCUUGUCAACUGCCUUGUAGGCUAUUUCUAAUGGUAUUAAUCAAUCCAUUGCCAACUCAACAGUUUGGAAAGAUGUUCACUCAAAACAUAUAAACCCAAUAAACCACAGCAAAAUAUUUCACAGAGUUCUGCUGUGCUUUGACAAUGGAAAGGCUUGUUGUAUUUGACCACCUACAGAUUUAAUGGAAAUGAGCUUCAUGGAAAUACAUGAGAACUAGAAUCAGAUGCUUACCAAUUAUCAAAGCAUAUUGCAGAAAUAUGGCCAUAUAACACUGGUAUUAAACACUAUGUCUGGACCAGAAUUAUUCCAAGGGUUUCCAGCAAGAUAAAAGCAGGUCUCUGCUGGUUUAACUGUGCAGGAGACUAAAAUAUAACAAUAACUUCUUCAGUUCUUUUGAUGUGGAGACCUUUCUCAUAAUGGGAGUUGUUUGAUUAAUAAAGAAUCUUUAUCUACUGUGCUCCUUUGUACUGUCACUAGGAAAACAAUCCAAAUAUAAAGAACAUAUUUAAUCAAUUUGUUCUAACAUAAGCAAAUGUGCACAGACAUUUAAAAUACAGAAUAACACACAAACUGCAGAAUAACUGGAUAAGGAUUUUUCUUUGUUUUUACCUUUUUGGACAUCUUUGUUUUAUUUUAACAAAAGUCUUCAGCAUUUAUAUAAAUUAAACAAGAAAAAAAAAGGUAGGGGUUUAACAGAUUAUUAAGAACAAUAAAACUGAUAAUAUUUAAGGCUGCAAUUU